rnacentral:rRNA from 1 species
GACGAACGCUGGCGGCGUGCUUAACACAUGCAAGUCGAACGGACAGGCCCUGCUUUUGUUGGGUGCUCGAGUGGCGAACGGGUGAGUAACACGUGAGUAACCUGCCCUUGACUUUGGGAUAACUUCAGGAAACUGGGGCUAAUACCGGAUAGGAGCUCCUGCUGCAUGGUGUGGGUUGGAAAGUUUCGGCGGUUGGGGAUGGACUCGCGGCUUAGCAGCUUGUUUGUGGGGUAGUGGCUUACCAAGGCUUUGACGGGUAGCCGGCCUGAGAGGGUGACCGGCCACAUUGGGACUGAGAUACGGCCCAGACUCCUACGGGAGGAAGCAGUGGGGAAUAUUGCAAAAUGGGCGGAAGCCUGAUGCAGCAACGCCGCGUGCGGGAUGACGGCCUUCGGGUUGUAAACCGCUUUCGCCUGUGACGAAGCGUGAGUGACGGUAAUGGGUAAAGAAGCACCGGCUAACUACGUG